UACUCGAGUGGCGAACGGGUGAGUAACACGUGGGUGAUCUGCCCUGCACUUCGGGAUAAGCCUGGGAAACUGGGUCUAAUACCGGAUAGGAGCCAUUUUUAGUGUGAUGGUUGGAAAGUUUUUUCGGUGUAGGAUGAGCUCGCGGCCUAUCAGCUUGUUGGUGGAGUAACGGCCUACCAAGGCGGCGACGGGUAGCCGGCCUGAGAGGGUGGACGGCCACAUUGGGACUGAGAUACGGCCCAG
rnacentral:rRNA from 1 species